rnacentral:rRNA from 1 species
CGAAAGGCGGAUUAAUACCGCAUAAAACUGCAAUGUGGCAUCACGUAACAGUUAAAGAUUUAUUGGAUUCGGAUGGGGUUGCGUGCCAUUAGCUAGUUGGGGAGGUAACGGCUCACCAAGGCGACGAUGGCUAGGGGAGCUGAGAGGCUGGUCCCCCACACGGGCACUGAGAUACGGGCCCGACUCCUACGGGAGGCAGCAGUAGGGAAUAUUGGGCAAUGGACGAGAGUCUGACCCAGCCAUGCCGCGUGCAGGAUGAAGGCUUUCUGAGUCGUAAACUGCUUUUAUCAGGGAAGAAAAAAGGGCAUGCGUGCUCUACUGACGGUACCUGAUGAAUAAGCACCGGCUAACUCCGUGCCAGCAGCCGCGGUAAUACGGAGGGUGCAAGCGUUGUCCGGAUUUAUUGGGUUUAAAGGGUGCGUAGGCGGCUGAUUAAGUCUGGGGUGAAAGCCCGUUGCUCAACAACGGAACUGCCCUGGAAACUGGUUGGCUUGAGUACAGACGAGGGUGGCGGAAUGGAUACUGUAGCGGUGAAAUGCAUAGAUAGUAUCCAGAACCCCGAUUGCGAAGGCAGCUGCCUAGACUGUAACUGACGCUGAGGCACGAAAGCGUGGGGAGCGAACAGGAUUAGAUACCCUGGUAGUCCACGCCGUAAACGAUGGAUACUCGCUGGUGGCGACAGACUGUCACUGGCUUAGCGAAAGCGUUAAGUAUCCCACCUGGGGAGUACGCUCGCAAGAGUGAAACUCAAAAGAAUUGACGGGGGCCCGCACAAGUGGUGGAGCAUGUGGUUUAAUUCGAUGAUACGCGAGGAACCUUACCUAGGCUAGAAUGCGCGUGACCGGCUCAGAGAUGAGCCUUUCCUUCGGGACACAAAGCAAGGUGCUGCAUGGCCGUCGUCAGCUCG